CUGGGAUCUUACAUAAACAAAUUUGUGAGUAAUCAAAUAUAAAACUUUGUACAAUACUAAUGGAAACAAUACAUUUGCCACUGGAAUAGGGAGUGAUUUAGCAGAAUUGUUUCUCAACUAUACCAACAACAUGAAUAUUCUAACAAGUGUUCGUUUCUAGCUCGGAUGAUUCUAUCCACCUCUAAGUCCCGUUGCUGGUCUCUUUUAUGUCUCGAUGAUAUGCUCUACUCUGUAUGCAAUGGAAAUCGGGAAUUCAAGCUCCAUACUACAAGUAUGUGCAUUGAUUUAAGUUAUCGCUAGCUUUGGAGUAUUAUUUUCUGCAUUAGGACUGCCAAGAUACUUCCCAAGGAUAUGUUUAUGACGUUGACAACGUCAUUGUUGAGCCAACGAAAUCCUUCUUUCUCUUGAAGUGAAGCGCCUAUUAGACUUUCACCAAAGUUUGCUAUCUGGGCGGCUACUACACAUAUUGCAGCCCCAGGUACGUUAAUCUGACCCUUUAGAUAACCAACAAAAGCAAGGAGAACUGAAGCAAGAAGCCCAGCUAAGGUUCCCUCAGCACUCACAGCCCCUUCAGUACCCCGAGGCACUACCUUGAAUGAGGUGACAAGAUACGUAGUUUUACCAUAUGCCUUUCCUAUCUCGCUCGAGACAGUAUCACUCAACUUGGUACAGAAACUGGCUACAAAUGCAAGUUCCCACAGGCGAGUAAAUGCCUCCCCACCAACACCAUUAAUUGAUAAGAAUGCACAAACACAACCGGCUGCACUAGAGCCUAUCACGCUUCCAGGUCCUCUCCUUCCUUUCCUCUUCUCUGCAACCCCUUGAGCCUCUUUCUGAGCCAUUUUCACCUUAGUCGCAGCUGUGCCAAUAACAAAAUAUGUGGCAACAAGAAGAAACCCAGAGGAACCAAAAGCUCUCCAAGUAAGUGUACCAAGCAAGAAAGCAGCCGCAAUACCAGAAAGUGACAAUCCAGUAACUAAAAGUGGAGAACCCAAAGAAAAAAUGAUAAUAUUACUCAGCAAAGCAGAUUGCCACGUGGGUGGUGAAGAUUGAAUCAAUUGAAUUGCUCUUUCGACAAUUCCAAGAUCAGACACUGAUGCUUGUGCUUUCAUUGAUGAUCUUUGAUGAUGUCUAGGGUUUAAAGUUGACAAAUGAGGAAAUUGGUCAAAUGGGGUUUGGAGUUUUGAGGUUAAAAAUGAAAACUUUGGUCUUUGAAUAUGGAGAAGUAAUGGAAGUCUUGGUAUUGAAAGAGUUGAAAAAGCCAUUUUUAAAGAAGUUUUAG
rnacentral:misc_RNA from 1 species